GGUGCGCGGGUAGAGGUAUAAAGGGUGACCUCGCCACACUGGGACUGAGACACGGCCCAGACUCCUACGGGAGGCAGCAGUGGGGAAUAUUGGACAAUGGGCGAAAGCCUGAUCCAGCAACGCCGCGUGAGGGAUGACGGCCUUCGGGUUGUAAACCUCUUUCAGCAGGGACGAAGCGAAAGUGACGGUACCUGCAGAAGAAGGACCGGCCAACUACGUGCCAGCAGCCGCGGUAAUACGUAGGGUCCGAGCGUUGUCCGGAAUUACUGGGCGUAAAGAGUUCGUAGGCGGUUUGUCGCGUCGUUUGUGAAAACCAGUAGCUCAACUGCUGGCUUGCAGGCGAUACGGGCAGACUUGAGUACUGCAGGGGAGACUGGAAUUCCUGGUGUAGCGGUGAAAUGCGCAGAUAUCAGGAGGAACACCGGUGGCGAAGGCGGGUCUCUGGGCAGUAACUGACGCUGAGGAACGAAAGCGUGGGUAGCGAACAGGAUUAGAUACCCUGGUAGUCCACGCCGUAAACGGUGGGCGCUAGGUGUGGGUUCCUUCCACGGAAUCCGUGCCGUAACUAACGCAUUAAGCGCCCCGCCUGGGGAGUACGGCCGCAAGGCUAAAACUCAAAGGAAUUGACGGGGGGCCCGCACAAGCGGCGGAUCAUGUGGAUUAAUUCGAUGCAACGCGAAGAACCUUACCUGGGGUUUGACAUAUACCGGAAAGCUGCAGAGAUGUGGCCCCCCUUGUGGGCGGUAUACAGGUGGGUGCAUGGCAGUC
rnacentral:rRNA from 1 species